UAGGGAAUCUUCCGCAAUGGGCGAAAGCCUGACGGAGCAACGCCGCGUGAGUGAUGAAGGUCUUCGGAUCGUAAAACUCUGUUAUUAGGGAAGAACAAAUGUGUAGGUAACUAUGCACGUCUUGACGGUUCCUAAUCAGAAAGCCACGGCUAACUACGUGCCAGCAGCCGCGGUAAUACGUAGGUGGCAAGCGUUAUCCGGAAUUAUUGGGCGUAAAGCGCGCGUAGGCGGUUUUUUAAGUCUGAUGUGAAAGCCCACGGCUCAACCGUGGAGGGUCAUUGGAAACUGGAAAACUUGAGUGCAGAAGAGGAAAGUGGAAUUCCAUGUGUAGCGGUGAAAUGCGCAGAGAUAUGGAGGAACACCAGUGGCGAAGGCGACUUUCUGGUCUGUAACUGACGCUGAUGUGCGAAAGCGUGGGGAUCAAACAGG
rnacentral:rRNA from 1 species